rnacentral:rRNA from 1 species
AAUGGGCGCAAGCCUGAUCCAGCCAUGCCGCGUGAGUGAUGAAGGCCCUAGGGUCGUAAAGCUCUUUCGCCUGUGAAGAUAAUGACGGUAGCAGGUAAAGAAACCCCGGCUAACUCCGUGCCAGCAGCCGCGGUAAUGCGGAGGGGGUUAGCGUUGUUCGGAAUUACUGGGCGUAAAGCGCGCGUAGGCGGAUUAGUAAGUUAGGGGUGAAAUCCCGAGGCUCAACCUCGGAACUGCCUCUAAAACUGCUAGUCUUGAGUUCGAGAGAGGUAAGUGGAAUUCCGAGUGUAGAGGUGAAAUUCGUAGAUAUUCGGAGGAACACCAGUGGCAAAGGCGGCUUACUGGCUCGAUACUGACGCUGAGGUGCGAAAGUGUGGGGAGCAAACAGGAUU